CAGCUUCAACACGACCAAGUACCAGAUCUACCGGAAGGCUGAUGGGGUUACCAAACACCACUUCAUUGGGGGAAACACCUGUUGUAUCAUGUUCAACGGAACGAUAUGCCAUCAUGAGAAGGUAGCCCAGCGACUUCCCUGUCCAUGUUGUCCAGUCCAUUUCUGGGGUCGGCCACAAGUUUAGCUUUCUUUGACUCAGAAGACCUGGACUGCUCCCAUUCCAAAGUUGGAGGCAUCUGUAUCCAAGAUGAACUGCCCUUUGGGAGAUGGAAAAGCCAAGAUUGGAGAACUAGU